AGGGGCGGGAAUCGAACCCACACCCUUCUGCUUACCGGGCAGGUGCCUUGUCCACUGCCC
rnacentral:tRNA from 1 species